GACGAACGCUGGCGGCGUGCUUAACACAUGCAAGUCGAACGAAGCUUGAUUUAUGAUUUCUUCGGAAUGAAUAAUGAUAUGACUGAGUGGCGGACGGGUGAGUAACGCGUGAGCAACCUGCCCUUCGGAGGGGGAUAGCGUCUGGAAACGGACGGUAAUACCGCAUAAAGUGUCUUGACCGCAUGAUCGAGAUACCAAAACUGAGGUGCCGAAGGAUGGGCUCGCGUUGGAUUAGAUAGUUGGUGGGGUAACGGCCUACCAAGUCGACGAUCCAUAGCCGGACUGAGAGGUUGAACGGCCACAUUGGGACUGAGACACGGCCCAGACUCCUACGGGAGGCAGCAGUGGGGAAUAUUGCACAAUGGGGGAAACCCUGAUGCAGCAACGCCGCGUGAAGGAAGACGGUUUUCGGAUUGUAAACUUCUGUUCUUAGUGAAGAAUAAUGACGGUAGCUAAGGAGCAAGCCACGGCUAACUACGUGCCAGCAGCCGCGGUAAUACGUAGGUGGCAAGCGUUGUCCGGAAUUACUGGGUGUAAAGGGAGCGCAGGCGGGAAGCCAAGUCAGCUGUGAAAACUACAGGCUUAACUUGUAGACUGCAGUUGAAACUGGUUUUCUUGAGUGAAGUAGAGGUUGGCGGAAUUCCGAGUGUAGCGGUGAAAUGCGUAGAUAUUCGGAGGAACACCGGUGGCGAAGGCGGCCAACUGGGCUUUAACUGACGCUGAGGCUCGAAAGUGUGGGGAGCAAACAGGAUUAGAUACCCUGGUAGUCCACACUGUAAACGAUGAUUGCUAGGUGUGGGGGGUCUGACCCCUUCCGUGCCGCAGCUAACGCAAUAAGCAAUCCACCUGGGGAGUACGACCGCAAGGUUGAAACUCAAAGGA
rnacentral:rRNA from 1 species